GAUGAACGCUGGCGGCGUGCUUAACACAUGCAAGUCGAACGAUUAAAGCCCCUUCGGGGGUGUAUAGAGUGGCGAACGGGUGAGUAACACGUGGGCAAUCUGCCCCUCACUUCGGGAUAACUCAGGGAAACUUGAGCUAAUACCGGAUACUCCGGGAAGGUCGCAUGGCCAACCCGGGAAAGCUCCGACGGUGGGGGGUGAGCCCGCGGCCCAUUAGCUGGUUGGUGAGGUAACGGCUCACCAAGGCGACGAUGGGUAGCCGAGCUGAGAGGCUGAUCGGCCACACUGGGACUGAGAAGCGGCCCAGACUCCGACGGGAGGCAGCAGUGGGGAAUUUUGCGCAAUGGGCGAAAGCCUGACGCAGCAACGCCGCGUGCGGGAUGAAGGCCUUCGGGUUGUAAACCGCUUUCAGCAGGGAUGAAAUUGACAGUACCUGCAGAAGAAGCCCCGGCUAACUACGUGCCAGCCGCCGCGGUAA
rnacentral:rRNA from 1 species